ACUCUUUCCCUGUUGCACUCC
rnacentral:miRNA from 15 species